UACGUAGGGUGCAAGCGUUGUCCGGAAUUAUUGGGCGUAAAGAGCUCGUAGGCGGUCUGUCGCGUCUGCUGUGAAAACUCGGGGCUUAACCCCGGGCCUGCAGUGGGUACGGGCAGACUAGAGUGCGGUAGGGGAGACUGGAAUUCCUGGUGUAGCGGUGAAAUGCGCAGAUAUCGGGAGGAACACCGGUGGCGAAGGCGGGUCUCUGGGCCGUAACUGACGCUGAGGAGCGAAAGCAUGGGGAGCAAACAGG
rnacentral:rRNA from 1 species